rnacentral:rRNA from 1 species
AUACGUAGGGAGCGAGCGUUGUCCGGAAUUACUGGGUGUAAAGGGAGCGUAGGCGGGAGUGCAAGUCAGAUGUGAAAUGCAUGGGCUUAACCCAUGAGCUGCAUUUGAAACUGCAUUUCUUGAGUGAAGUAGAGGUAAGCGGAAUUCCUGGUGUAGCGGUGAAAUGCGUAGAUAUCAGGAGGAACACCGGUGGCGAAGGCGGCUUACUGGGCUUUUACUGACGCUGAGGCUCGAAAGCGUGGGGAGCAAACAGGAUUAGAUACCCUGGUAGUCCACGCUGUAAACGAUGAUUACUAGGUGUGGGGGGACUGACCCCUUCCGUGCCGCAGUUAACACAAUAAGUAUUCCACCUGGGGAGUACGAUCGCAAGAUUGAAACUCAAAUGAAUUGGCAGGG